GUUCAGAGUACGUGAAACCGUUCAGGGGUAAACCUGAGAAACCCAAAAGAUCGAAUGGGGAGAUUCAUCGUCAGCGUAUUUUGUAUAUGUAUAAGUUAUGAUGCGGGUUACUCUUGUAGUAUUGCCUGUACAUUCUUGUACAUUUUGUUGCAAGAUAUUGUCGGCGUGCACUUCUCCCCUAGUAGGACAUCGCGACCCGUUGGGUGUCGGUCUACGGCCCAAAUGGUAGCCUUUAAUGUUUUAAAAUACAUUGAAGACCUUUGGUGUUUCCUGACCGACUGCUCGGCGGUACUCGUACGGUAUUAAGCCGCAUAAUUAUAUGCGUCCAUACCCGUCGCAAGCCAGGUUAAUUUUCGGUAGUACGGACCUAGUGCCGUCGCUGAAAUUAAUCAGCUGUUGGUUGUACGGUGUUCUAGGACUGGCUUAAAUUUUGUUACCGGUCGGCGAUGCUACUGCUUUGGGUACUUUCAGGACCCGUCUUGAAACACGGACCAAGGAGUCUAACAUGUGCGCGAGUCAUUGGGAUUUUUUAAAAAUUAAACCUAAAGGCGUAAUGAAAGUAAAGGUUGUCCUUGCGUCAACCGAGGGAGGAUGAGUUGUAAUAAAAUACAGCUUCGCACUCCCGGGGCGUCUCAUUCUCAUUGCGAGAAGAGGCGCACCUAGAGCGUACACGUUGGGACCCGUACUCUUGUAGUAUUUGGUAGCGUUGGUUGUA
rnacentral:rRNA from 1 species